CUAUGUUUUGUUACAUGAAAGGAAGGGAAUCUAGCUGCCUUCUCCUCUGCAAAACACAAAACUAGUGAGAUAAGGCUGUUAAAAGAAUGAAUGCCAUCAUGUCUUCUGUAAUUUGGAGAAUUUCUCUUUAGCUGAUAUUUUGAACACAGACAAAAUGCUGAAUAUAUAAUGCCCGGAGACAACUAAUCUAAUAAGCCCUAAGAAAAGGCAGUGUUUAAAUGGAAAUUAGCGGUAUGAAAUUUAAAAGGAGCAUGAGGUAGGCGUGUCAGGAUAGCUGAGGCCAUAAUGAGCAGUGACCUUUUCUCAAAUACUCUUAAAUCUGUUGCCCAGUCUAGCCAACUAGUCAGCCAAAUGCAUCAUCAUUUGAGAAAAUGUUCUAACCUGAGUCUAGAUUUGCUUGGAUAUGAAGGGUGCUAAAUAUGUUACCACCCCCCACAAAAAUAUAUGCCACUUUGGCAUGAGGAUUAUUUUGAGCUAAAGGCAAUUGAGAACCAGCAGAUGGAGGAAGAGCUCUAAUUUCCUCUAACUGCCUAAAACUAAAGAAUAAAUUUUCCCUUUUGUAAAGAAAAUUUACAUUUAAUAAGGAAAUUUUCAUUUGUAAAAGUGCCUCCAUACCAGGAAGAAAGCUACUCAGGAUACAACUCUUAUCACUGAGACACUCUUAUCUGCAUAACAAGGCAAUCCUUAUUUACUAUACAUUUCUUCCCCUCACCUUCCCAUAACUUGUCUUCCCCAUACAGAAGCCCCAAGCCCCUUUUCCUUUGCUUAAUAAGAGGGUAUAUGAAUCUCAAUCAUCUGGCUGCCUCCUUGAGCCACAUUUUUUUUUUUCUGUGAUUGGGAGUCACAUUUCUUUUCUCUGCUGCAUACAUAUACAAUUAGAACUUUUUUUGUUGUUUUUUGUUUUUUGUUUUCUCUCUCUCUCUCAUUAAUCUGUCUUUCAUCAGUUUGAUUUAUGGGCUUUAGUCACUGAACCUAGAACGAGAGAGGAAAAUGGUUUUUUUUCCCUCGCCUUCAGAAGCUGUAUACAUUCUAGCAAAGAUGUUGAUUGUUCUUUCUAUGUACUCUACAACAGAGGUCCCCAACAUUUUUGGCACCAGAGGCUGGUUUCAUGGAAGAUAACUUUUCCACAGAUGAGGAGGGGACAGUUUCAACAUGAAACUGUUCCAUCUUGUAAGGAGUGCACAACCUACAUUCCACACUUGCACAGUUCAUGCUCCUAUUAGAAUCUAAUGCCCCAGCUCAUCUGACAGGAGGCAGACCUCAGGCAGUAACGCUCACUCACCCACCACUCACCUCCCCUCUGUGGCCUACUUUCUAACAGGCCACAGACUGGUACCAGUUGGGGACCCCUGCUCUGUAACACCUCUGAAAGGAGUUUAAUCUAGAUUGCAGGGAAACUCAAAUAUGCUAACAUAAGCCAAGAGCUCUUCCUCAAAUGGGGAAGAUUAGUGACAGACUUCUGGGCUGUCCAAGUUCUUGGGGCACUUCAUGGCUCAUACAGCUGGUAAAGCUCUGCACCAUGUUUCUCAUGUUUGACCUAACAUCCUGUAUCUCCAUUGUAUUUCAUACCACGUGUCUCCCCAGCCCAAAUUCAAAAGAGCAUUUAAGACCUUCAAACAGGAUCUGAAAGGAUGACCCUUUGAAAUGGGUCAUUACUAGUGCAAAGAACAGUUUCCACCAAUAAGAAGUUCCCAUUUACUCCUAAAGGGCAAAGAUUAUAUUUCAUUGAUAUUUGUGGGUUAUGUUCCCCACACCUCAACCCCAGUACAUGGCACUAUGCCUAGUUCAAAUGAACACAGCAGGAGUUUGUGGAGGAGGAAAAACUUUUUCUGUGUUCCUUAGGAGGCCUGCAAAUUAAACUGGGAAAAAAAAAAAAAAAAAAAAAAAG
ensembl:lncRNA